ACCCGGCCCGGGCCCCGCUCUUUGGUGCUGAACUGACGGAUGGCUACGCAGAACGAGCCUCCCGAGCGGCGCCAGGGAACAGUGAAUGAAGCUGAGACACCACCACCCCCACCCCCGAGCCCUGACGCUUCCUGGGGGCGCUGCCCCGGAGGGCUUCUCGGAGGAGGCGGCCUUGGCCUCAGGCCUGCAGGGGGUGAGGGGCGGGCCCCGUCUCGGCAGGUGGCUACGGGGCGAGGAAGCUGUGGCACUGGCGACGGUCGGGAUGCCCUGGGAGGCAGCGGGCACGGGGAGCUGGGAGCCAGCCCUCGGGGCUGCCCGCUUCCUGAGCGCCCAGGAAAGGCAGCCCGGGUUUCCCAGUGUCUCUCGCUGACUGCGGUUCGCCACCGACCCUGGGGCCGGCAAGAGCGCAUCCUGUAGCCCAGCCGCCAGCUUUUCUGAACCCCUGCCAUGGAGGCCAUUCUCCUGCCAUCCAGACCCAAGCUUUAUAGACGUAUAAUUGGCACACAAGAAACUGCACACUCUAAAGUAUACAAUUGGAUGGGUUUUGAUGUGGACCCACCCAAGAAACCAUUACCACAAUGGAGACAGUGAACGUACACAUCCAUUACCCCUAGAAGUUCCCUUGUCCCUCCAGC